AAGCCAUUGUGUAGACAAUCUCGCACUAGUCUUUUAAACUUCUCCCAGGCACCACUGAGUGAUUCAUCAAUAUCCUGUUCAAAAUUUGUGAUCAACUUUCUCCUUCU